CCUACGGGAGGCAGCAGUGAGGAAUAUUGGUCAAUGGGCGCGAGGCUGAACCAGCCAAGUAGCGUGAAGGACGACUGCCCUAUGGGUUGUAAACCUCUUUUAUAAAGGAAUAAUAAGUGGUACGUGUAGCAUGAUGCCUGUACCUUAUGAAUAAGCAUCGGCUAACUCCGUGCCAGCAGCCGCGGUAAUACGGAGGCUGCGAGCGUUAUCCGGAUUUAUUGGGUUUAAAGGGUGCGUAGGUGGUUUUUUAAGUUAGUGGGUAAACUUGGGGGUUUAACCUUGAAUUGCCAUUUAUACUGUCAGACUCGAGUACAGAUGAGGUAGGCGGAAUACGUGAAGUAGCGGUGAAAUGCUUAGAUAUCACGUAGAACUCCGAUAGCGAAGGCAGCUUACUAGACUGCGACUGACGUUGAAGCACGAGAGUGUGGGUAGCGAACAGGAUUAGAUACCCUUGUAGUC
rnacentral:rRNA from 1 species